CAGCUGGUGCCAGCAGCCGCGGUAAUUCCAGCUCCAAUAGCGUAUAUUAAAGUUGUUGCAGUUAAAAAGCUCGUAGUUGAAUUUCGGGAUCAAUAUGUUGGUCGUGCCUUGGUACGUACUGGCGUCAUUGGUUUCUACCUUCUGAAGAACCUCGAUGUCAUUAAUUUGGUGUCUUGGGGAAUCAGGACUGUUACUUUGAAAAAAUUAGAGUGUUUAAAGCAAGCUCAUGCUUGAAUACAUUAGCAUGGAAUAAUGAAAUAGGACGUUUGAUUCUAUUUUGCUGGUUUCUAGGAUCGACGUAAUGAUUAAUAGGGAUAGUUGGGGGCAUUAGUAUUCAAUUGUCAGAGGUGAAAUUCUUGGAUUUAUUGAAGACUAACUACUGCGAAAGCAUUUGUCAAGGAUGUUUUCAUUAAUCAAGAACGAAAGUUAGGGGAUCGAAGACGAUCAGAUACCGUCGUAGUCUUAACCAUAAACUAUGCCGACUAGGGAUCGGAUGAUGUUAAUUUUUUAAUGACUCA
rnacentral:rRNA from 2 species